rnacentral:misc_RNA from 1 species
ACAACACAGAGUCCAGUUGCAUUUGUCAAGACCAAGUAUUUUUCCCAAGUCGAUAGCAUUGCUAAAUUGUGGAUAUCAUCCCAAAAUGCCAGAUCAUCACAAUCUUUAAGCUCCCACUUCAAAUGAAGAGAAGAUGAAUUUCCAAAAGCUAUUGCAGUCUCGCUAAUGCCAACAGCUGAUAGUCUAACUGUCCGCCCAUUUGCUAUUGUGACUGGGGAAGUACGAAUCAUUCCACUGCCACGGUCAGCCUGAGCUGCAGACUGGAUCACUUCAACAGAAUUAACAGUUUCAUCAGCUA